CUAAUUAUAGGCCCUUUUGGAUUUGUUUCUUUCGUUUCUGAAUUAUUGUUAAUUUAUGGAUUUAUAAUUUUGUUUUCCUGCAUUUUCUCAAUAACCAAACAGAGCUUAGAGUCUAUUCUGUGAUUAUUGCUGAAUCAGUAGUGAAUGGUAUCUAAUGACUGUCUUCUUCUUGUUUAUAUAUUUUACAUGGAAAUAAUGACUCGUGACAUCAUAGCAGCCAUGAGAUUUAAGAAAGGGAGUAAAGUAGAAGUCUUGAGCAAAAACGGUGUCCCUUCAUUCUUCUGGCGUUGUGCGGAGAUUUUAUGUGGCAAUGGCCAUACUUAUACGGUCAGAUUUGAAGGGCAGGCGGGCAUCGUCAGUGAGACAGCAGUGGAGAAGAUACGUAGGAAGGAAAUUCGGCCUCGCCCUCCAUCACCUGAAAUUGUGGAGACUUGGGCUCCUGGAGAUGUGGUAGAGGUGUUUGACGAUUUCUCUUGGAAAAUGGCUACCAUUUUAAAGUUACUAAGCAAACAACGCUUCUUGGUCAGGAUAGUGGGAUCAUCUCUUGAAUUCAAAGUGAGCAUAUUUGGCAUCCGGGCUAGACAGUAUUGGCAAGAUGAGAAAUGGACCGUGAUUGGAAAGGUUUCUGGCAGUUGUGAAGAUGCAAAGCAUGAUGAAAAGUUAACUCUGAAGUGCAAGCGAAAUGUUCAGAACAAUGUUGAAUUGAAAAAAAUAAGAAAGGGUGUUCCCUUUCUUAUGCGGAACAAUGAGAAACUCCAUGAUUCCAACAUUGCCUCUUGUAGAACUUUGAAGCGAGGACCUUAUGACUUUAAACCAGUUGAAACAUACGAUGGUGCUGUCCAAAAGUAUAGAUCAGUUGAAAAAGAGGGCAGGCUCCAUCGACUGAUUGCAACAAAUCAGUAUUUAUUUUCAGAAGAUGUAGAUGAUGUUGCAUUACCAAAGGAAAGGACGGGUGAAAAAUUCAUACAUUCUUCUCUAUACAGCCAAACUGAUCUUACUGAAAUGGAUAUGGAGAGAAGAAAACAAACUGGUGCUGUUGGAUGUUCUUCUGCAAUAGAAUUAGAAUCCAAUGACGAAGAUAGUGUCACUAGCUCCAUCGGCAGUUGUAGCAUCACUAGGAACAAUUACUUUAGAAUACAUCAUCAAGCGGGUUUUAUUGACGGUGAUUGUAGUGAUGCAGAAUCUUUCUGUCACCGGGGAUAUGAGGAAGGAAAUAUUUUCAUUCCCACAAAGGAGGAAUUAGCCGCUGAAGUCCAUAGAUUAGAAUUGCAUGCCUACCGAUGCACUAUGGAGGCAUUAUAUGCAUCAGGGCCUUUGAGUUGGGAGCAAGAAGCAAUGGUGACGAAUCUCCGUCUUUCCCUCCAUAUAUCAAAUGAUGAACAUUUGGUGGAGUUGAAUGUAGAUCAAACAGGUAUAAACACUUAAGAGUGUCAGAUUUAAGCAAGGGAACCCUGGACUGACAAUCUGUUAGGAAACAACGAACUUCUCCAGCGAAAGGUAGUGCUUUAUGUGAUUGGAAGGCUGGAAGCAAAUGCGAGUUGUCAGAGAUCAUGUAUCAGCAGGAACGGAGCAAGAUCACAUGUGCAUCUUAAGCUCCAUCAGUUGUAAAUCGAGGCAGCAGAAUUCUAAGUAGCAUAGUGUAUCAGCAGAAAAGUAGAGCUAUAUUAUAUUGUGGAGCACGCGGAUGAAGAAAAAAUGACCACUGCAGUUUAUACGGAUUGAAACUGUUGAAAUUUGAACUAAGCGUGAAUAAAUGUACGUAUCUAAUAACUCAAAAUUCUUAGUGUAGCAUCAAAUGGAAUUUUUGCUGGUGUUAAUUAUGAGAAUCUAUGGUCAUAAUGCAUAUUCUUGUAUGCUGUGUGUCAAUUACUAGUUGAUUGUAAAAUGGUAAACCGGGGCCAGUAAAUUUGUGUCUGCAGCAGAUUUUCUACUCUUAACAGCCCUUUUGCUGUCUUGAAGAUCAAGUGCAAUUCUUUGGUAUCACAAAUGAUGUCUUACUUUUUAACAUUUUAAUGUGACACUACCAAAAAAAUGUUAAUUUUAUUUGUUGAAGCAAUCAUGGAAUUGCUGUUUAUGGUCUA